ensembl:lncRNA
CUAUUUCUAUUGCCUGUCUGCCAAACCCGUGGUUUCUGCAGUGCCACUGCUGUAACGUGGUCACCUUCAUGGAAGAAGAGAGGUGGCUUUCCUCCAGCACUGGAGCUCUGAGCAAGCUUUGUUUUGGGAUGCUUGGGGCAUGAGGAACCUCAGGGAUGAGUGUGAGCUGCAGCUCCCUGCAUGAGGUGGUGGCUGUCUGUGGGGCAGGGAUGUCUUUUCCCAGCUGCCCAAUUCCCUACAUUGCCUGCUGCUGGCACGGCUGGUCCCAGACCUGCUUCAGGCAAUGUGACCCAGGUUGAUAGAAAGCACCUUGUUUGAUUGCUUACUUUCAUUGAUUUCAGGCCCAGCCAUAACAAUCAGCUCACCAGCAAACUCAGAGCUGCAGUGAGGAGCAGCUGGGUGGGCAUGGAGACUUGAUUAUGGUGACAAGCUCCUUCCAAGUUCUUCUCUGGGAAGUGUCCCUGCACUGUGCACGAUGGGGAGCAUCAAUGGGGGAGAUUUGGGAAUCUAUACCUGACCCAUGUGGAGCUGCUGAUAAGCCAUCCCAGGCUGCUGUGCUGGGAGCCAUUGCUGCUUUUAUGGACACAGAGAGGGCUGCUUUGGUUUCCAUGCAGAAGGGAUGUGCUGAAGGAUGAGACUCACAGUGCCUGGAGUAGGGAGUGGUAUACAUAACACCAGUGAGGGUCAUGGGUUUCGAACGAGACUGGACUGAACCAAACAAGCAACCCGAAUCUGAACUGUGGGAGGCUCAACUCAUUCAUCACUCAAAGUAUUGCUCAGUCUGGCUCACUGAAAGCAACACUGAAGUGCCUUAAGCCUUGAGUGGUCUGUUUAGACAAAAAGAAAUGAGAUGAAACAAGCUGCUUACAAAUUUGAUCGCAGCCAUCACAAAUUAUCUAAUUUAACUCCUUUUUGUUUCUAAACCACCUGAUUCGAAUCUAUUCGUUCGCAGUGAUUCAUCACCCAGCUCGUGCAAACAAACCCUGUCCUGUGAUUGCUCUGCAGACGGUGCAGGAAGAGAUUCAGCUUUGUUCAGUGUUGGUCACAUGAUGGGUCACAAGUCGCACUCUGUUAUUGCUAUUUCCCAUUUGGUGGUUGGGAUAGGAGAUGGCAGGUCUUGCAAUCAUCUAUUAACUACAUUAAGUUUUGUGUUGUUUUUUUUUUUUUAAAGCUGUUCAGAACUGCUCUAAGAACAACUUUACUUGUGACUGUUCUUCCCAGCCAGCACUGCAUCAGGGCUCAUGGUGCAGCUGCUUUUCUUCAGUUCUCUUCAACACAAAGAUGCACAAAUCUAGGUUUGCUGCUGUUAUACUUGCUUCUUUUUCUUUUCUUUUGGCAGUACUUACAGUGUUCAUUUAAUGCAUGAGCACAAACAGUCUGCAACUGCGUGCACAAAUGAUGGCACAGUGCACGGCCAGCACGCAGACUGAUGGCUCUCAGAGAUGCCUUGGAAACACUGCAGCAUGCACCUCACCCUGUACCUCUGCACUGCAGUUGUGGUCCCAGCAUUGUUGACUAAUAGUCAUUGAGAAAACCACAACGAAUAAUGAUAUAAAAAGAAUUAGUACAAGUGAAUUGUGCUGUUGCUUUGGCCAUUUAAACAGGGGGAGUUACCUGGAAGUGUAAAAACACUGC